UACGGAGGGAGCAAGCGUUACUCGGAAUUAUUGGGCGUAAAGGGCGCGUAGGCGAUUUGAAAAGUCUUGUGUGAAAGCCCCGAGCUUAACUCGGGAAGUGCACAAGAAACUGUUGAAUUUGAGUUCCGGAGAGGAAGGCAGAAUUCCCGGUGUAGCGGUGAAAUGCGUAGAUAUCGGGAGGAAUACCAGUGGCGAAGGCGGCCUUCUGGACAGUGACUGACGCUGAGACGCGAAAGCGUGGGGAGCAAACAGGG
rnacentral:rRNA from 1 species